rnacentral:rRNA from 1 species
CAAGCGGUGGAUGAUGUGGAUUAAUUCGAUGCAACGCGAAAAACCUUACCUACCCUUGACAUGUACGGAAGCUUCGAGAGAUCGAGGUGUGCUCGAAAGAGAACCGUAACACAGGUGCUGCAUGGCUGUCGUCAGCUCGUGUCGUGAGAUGUUGGGUUAAGUCCCGCAACGAGCGCAACCCUUGUCAUUAGUUGCUACAUUCAGUUGAGCACUCUAAUGAGACUGCCGGUGACAAACCGGAGGAAGGUGGGGAUGACGUCAAGUCCUCAUGGCCCUUAUGGGUAGGGCUUCACACGUCAUACAAUGGUACAUACAGAGGGCCGCCAACCCGCGAGGGGGAGCUAAUCCCAGAAAGUGUAUCGUAGCCCGGAUCGCAGUCUGCAACUCGACUGCGUGAAGUUGGAAUCGCUAGUAAUCGCGGAUCAGCAUGUCGCGGUGAAUACGUUCCCGGGUCUUGUACACACC